AUAAACAAAGCUUGUCUGGAGACACAAUGAUUCAAAAUUUAGGGACCCUUGUGUGGAAACUAAAGUGGGUCUUUGGUGAAGAAUUUACUGGGAACAGUUAUAUGGUCUGCUGGCUUUGCUGGAUUGAGAUGGUGAGAUCUUUCUCUGCCAUAGGUCUGCAGAGAACUGCAGUUCUUCCUUCUGGUCAGCAGAGGGCAGGAGAGGGCAGAAAAUAAGCUGCCCCCGCUUCACUUUUUUUGUUGGCUUACCUGUCCCCAGCAUCAAGUAUUUGCAUUUGCGUGCAUUAUUAUAUUUAUAAUUUUGCUCGAAAGUUUGCCUUUUCCUCUGAACCUAGUUAGCUGCUGCCUUGUGGGGCUUGAUUUCCCAAAAUUAACUUUGUGGACUGAUUUAAUGCCAAACUUAACCAAUCUUAUAAAAUCUUUCCCUGCCAAAGCAUAACUAACCUAAUCUAAGGACUGAACUACCCAAACUGCGCUACCUCUGUAAAAUCCUUGCUAAGUCUACUCUCCAGUGUCACCCCACAGAGCUUGUGUUAGGGGUAACCGUGAGCAGCUGAGCUGCAUGAACCCCUGGUCCUCCUCUAACUUUGACAAACCAAGAGACUGAGGAAGGACUUCAUGGGGGACAGGCCUCCAGAACCCCCGUGGCUACAGGCCAUCCUCCCUAGGACCAGGGCUGGGGCUGUUCAGGUGGGGCACUGCACAGAUCUCCUGGGGCUGAGGUUGCAAAGUGCCCCCAAAGAUGUACUCCAGCUUGAGCCCCGGGCUCCCUUCUGGCAGUUGGAACCGAAAGGUCCUAAGGAGGGUGGCAAACAUCAGGAAGAGCUCCAUUUGAGCCAGCUGGUGCCCUGGGCACACACAAUGCCCUGGAAACAGAGAGAAAAGUCAGAGGUGGCAGCUGUCUCUGUGUCUGUCCCACCAUAGCCCCACCCACUACCCAGGAUCCAGCUCUGUGCCUAGUACCUGCAGAGAAUGGCAGGAAGGCCUCAUUGGCCACAAAGUUUCCAUCCUUGUCCAAGAAGUGGCCAGGGUUGAACUGUGGAGGGGUCUCCCAGCACUCAGGGUCGUAGAGCACAGAGCCUCUACAUAAGGGUAAGAUGAUGGUGCCCUACAGAGAGAUGCUGGUGUGGAUCAGGGAGCCUCAGAUGGUGCCCAGUACCCAGCCCUGACACUGAGCCACAGUGAGCUUGGAGAAUACCCACUGUGCUGGUGGGAGUAGUCCAGGGGCCUCGAGGAGACUCAGCAGCCGGCCCUCAGGCUGCCCUUCCUCCAGGCUUACAUCAGUGCAGGAGCCAAGCAGGACACCCUCCUGGCUAAGGACUGCCCAGCUUUGUCCUGAAGACUCCCAGCCACGUCUGGGGACAUGAAGCGGUUGCCUCCUACAGAGAAGGCCAGCAGCUGGUGGCAUGUCUGGAAGGGGCCAAGGACAGCCCAGGACAACACACACCGGGGCAGGGGGUAUGUGUGCGCGUGGGUGUUAGAGGAAGAGACAGAGUGAGGAGAAACGGAAUGGCAA
rnacentral:lncRNA from 1 species